GGAGAGUGGUGGAGUCUCUAAACAGAGGCUGGAUGGUCAUCUGUUGGGGAUACUUUGAUUGAGAGUUCCUGCAUGGCAGAGGUUUGGACUGGAUGGCCCUUGUAGUCUCUUCCAGAGGUUUCACUCCUCCACUGCGCAGGGCCUAGCCAGCUGGCUGGGUCCCAAAGAAGGAGGCCUUGCCAUGGCGAGUCCUCCUUCAGUGGUGGGAAGAGCCGCGCGGGGCCUAGCCGGCUGACCGGAUCCCAGAGAAGGAGACUGCCGCUGGGCUCCAACUGGCUGGGCCCCAAGAAAAUAGAGGAGGACGCCACAGCUUAGUCUCACAGUUUUGGCCUAGCACUGCAUCCAGGACAGAACCCUGUGGCACCCCACUGGUCACUUCUCUCCAAGAUGAAGAAGAGCCAUUGCUGAUCAUCCUUUGGGUUCAGCUGUUUAACCAACAUUAGGGGAAGGAAGAGAUGAGUAAGAAAUCAUCAUCAUCACCAUCAUCAUUUACAAUUUUGCCAUAUAUUUUUCAAAGCUUAUUUUCAUGAUAUGCUUUGCCAUUCUAAUUUUCUACAAAAAAAAAUAGUUGAAAAAUCUUCAAAAGACAAAAAGGGUGUCCUGAAAUGAAUGGGGAACUAGUAAUGAAGAACAGGUUAAAGUGUAAGCUUUAAGGCCUUUGUGCAAGCUCAGAACAAUGCUCAGAGGUACUUAAUAUUAUUAAUUGUUUUCUAAAUUUUCCAUAUGGAGAGAGAGAGAGAGAGAGAGUUAGAUUCAGAAUGUAAUUCCACCCUUCACUAUGCUGUUACAGUGGAAUGAUAUACAGUACACCUGGCUUAAUAAAUGCUAUUAAAAUGGAAGACUCUGAAUUUGUCACACUAUUGAAAUUACACUAUCAUAGUUGUGAGGAUCUUGAAAAAGAGAUAACAAAAGCCAAAAGUAUGCCUAUAUACUCAAACAGAAAAUGUUAAAUUUAUGGUACAAAUAUAUUGCAUUUAGAUAAAUUCCUAAAUCCUGUUGUUGUUAGUCCCAACUAGAUAGAAUCACUGAAGCAACUGGGCUUACUUCUGUACAGACUAAAUAAAAACUGAUUAAUUGUAUUUACUCCAGCUGUUACUAACCAAUAUGAUUUCAGCCAUAAUGUUGGUGGUGGGUGCUGGUGCAGAUAUGGAAUAUUCAAGUCAUGUUGAAAUUUUCUUUCUUAACUUUUACAUGUCUUUUGCAAAUUCUUCAUACUUUUGGAAGGAUUUUGUUAAAUAAUGUAGUAUAAAUACAUUUCCCUAGAUUAGGUGGAGAAAUGUUUCUCCCAUUUCCUAUGCAACCCAUCCCUUAUCAGCCCUUUUGCAAGCUAAACAUUUGCAGUGAUAAAAAUGUGAGGCCUUAUACAAUAUGCAGUAUGGAAAAGUUGUUACAGAUGUAAAAUAUAGAUACUGUUCUCAUUUAUAAACCUGAUUGGCCAACUUUUUUUAAAAAAAAUUCUUAUUAUUUUAAAUAUUAUUUGCAGGAGAGGAAUAUUUGGAUGGUUUGCAGACAUUUCUGUGCCAGAGAGAGGAAAAUAUUCUCAAAAUUAAAAUGUGUUAAAAGGCAGCAACUACUGUAACAAGAAAGCAGAAGAAAACUUAAAUAGAUUUGGUAAAUCUGAUCAUUAGCUGUUGGUUUAGCUAGGUAUUGAUAAGUAUUUGGAAUCAUUAUAUAACUAAGUGAAUCCUUUUUCUUUUCCAGUUAAGAAAAUAGUGUCUUAUGAAUCCCACCCCCAUUCCAGAUAACUCCCUAAUUUUGGUGCCAUUUGUUCUGUGUGCAAAAAUGGAGAAACAGUGCAUGCUGCAUUGUAUAAAACAAAUGUGAGUGCUUAACAUUUUAAAAAUUUUAAAGAAUCAAAUGUGCCAAUUCUGUAACAGUCUGUUUUUAUUGUUAUUUGUUCUUUUUCCACAUUGGAUUAAUGUAUGGAACCAUUAAUUGUUAGACAGCAAUGGUACCCAUUAACCUUAUUUUGAUUUUGUAUAUUCCAGCUAACAAUAUCAGGCUUGCUCUAGUACAAUCUUGGUAAAUUGUGGGAUAGUUUUUUGCAUUCUGUAUUUGAACACUUUAAUUUUUAAAACAAAAGCCUAUAAAUCUCAUUAGUUGGCAACCAGACAUGACUAGAGGGAUCAAUACACUCACAAAAAAUAGUUUCAUCUUUGUGCUUGUUGACUUCCCACAAAUCACUGUUUCUCAAAGACAACAAUUUAAGAUCAAUUUAUAAAUGAAACUUUUUUUAUUGCUGUGCUGACACCAAAAAUGCCCUUAUUUGCUAACAAUAUACAUGUCUUUCACAGGCUUUUGCUAAUUCUUUCUCUCUUUGUCAAAACUCUCGAAAAAGAGGUCCCUGUAUCUUCUGAUUAACUGAAAUAAUAUAGACAUGAGAUGGAAGUGCAGAAUAUUUCUACAUAUUAAUUGUCUAUGAAGUGGAAUGCAUUCCAUGAUGAACACACACACUCCUGAUGUUCCUGUUCAAUAAAGUGACUUUUUUUAGAACAGAAAUAUUCCUUGCAUUUUCCUUCUGUUUCAGAAUAACAGAAUAUGGAAUAUACAUCAAAAUUUUAAAUUGCUGGAAAAAAAUCUUGCAUUAUUUCUUGUCUAUAUUGUUGAAACAAUCAGUUAAAUUGCUCUUGUCUUUGCUCCUUAGCUCUUGUAAUAAGCCAAUAAAGUUUGCAAACACACCGUUGAUCAAAUAAGUUUGUCGCCUUUGCUCUUUAGCCUAAUAAGCCAAAAAUGUUUGCAAACACACAAGCUAGUUAGAAAAUUAACACAAAUAUCAAAGCAAUAAUUUAAGAAAUAUUGAAAUGUUUAUAUGCUUCUAUUGUCAUACCGUUGGCUUCUUUUGAAUUUGCUGUUGAAACUUCAAUUUUACAAUGUGGCUGUGUUUGCUAAAAUGCAAUUAUUGAAAAUAUAUAAAUGACAUUAAUAUAGAACAUGAAUAUGAUGGUGUGAAAGACAUGUAAAACAGAAGUCCUGUAUAUAAUCUUACCUGAAAGUUAGUCCAUUAAAUCAGAAUAAACUUGAACAAAACUGGACUGCCUAGAGUCAACGAGUAAGAUAUAGCACUUGGAGUCAAAUGUAGCAAUAACUGAUUGCAAAGCAGUCAGGAAUGAUUUGGGUAAAACAAAAACAGAGGAUUAAGCUAGAUGAAAUGUUAAAAGCUGGUACUCCUUUAAUUUAUAUUGUUUUUAUUUUUAAACUGACAGCAAUGGGGUCCCCCAAUCAGAUUGUGCCAUACAGGGAAAGUCUGUUCAACUCUUUCCCCUCUCUGCUGCAGAUCUCUUGAAAAUGCUGGAAAUAAUCACCCCUGCAUUCCUGGGCCCUGUUGCUAUUCAUUCCAUAAAGAAAGCUGCCAUUGGCAUCAAGAACAGUUUUUCUCUGGGGAGAAAUAUCGGUUUCACUAGGGGUAGGCAAGCGUGAAAUUUUCACCAGGACUGUAACUCAGUGAGAAAGGGUAACACCAUACCACACCACCUACACAGCACAGCCCCAAUCCUGAUCUCCCCACCCAUUCCUAACAACUGUUAAUUGUAAAGCAAGACAUGUUAAAUGUGAGCACACAUUUAAUGUAUUGUUUACUUCACAAUGAGCUGGGAAUUUUUUUGAGAUUACACAGGUUUUCCAGCAGAGGUGAAGGGUGAAUUGUAAAUUAUUAUAAUGCAUUCUGAAAUGCAGUGGCUGUGAUUUUGUUUAAAAUUAUAGCAUAAAUAUUUUUCCUUGCACAUAUUAAUUUUAAAAUGUUGUGAACAUACAGGAGAAAAGUGGAAUUUUUAAAAAUUGCAUCUACUACAAGUACCGUUCCUAAAGGGUAAAAAAUGGCCCAUGAAGUGAUCAUGUUACAGGACAUAUUAUACUCCGUGAAGACUUCAUUCAGUCCUGUGCCUUUUCCCUUUUAACAGAACAGGUUGCAAACUCACCAAAGUAUCUAUUAAGAAAUUCCCUUUUUAUCAGUGUAAUUGAUAGCCCAGGGACUUAAAAUGUGACUCAAAUUUUCAUGACUUUCCAAAAGCUUUCAACAUUUUUUCAUGAUAAUGAAUUGAAUAUGGCCAAUAUUUCAAAAGGUAUGUUUUUAAGUAGUUCCUAAAUUGUCUGGCAAACAUAUUAAAUUGAAUCCUUUGAUUUCUUGUCUACACCUAAAGAGGCCAUGCACGUAUGGAAGCAGGGAAGCAAAUCUACCUUCUAUGUGCAUAGCAACCAAAUGAAGAAUCUGGUUACAUAUGGAAAACUACAGAUCAUCAUAGGCAAAACAGGAGACAAUCUACUGCUCUAUGCCUGAGUGUACACAUAACUACAAAUAACAGUGUGCAAAACUCAGGGAAGCAUGCUGCCUCUGAUCUUGGCACCUUAUAGAUAGUUAUUUUGCAUUGAUCUGCGUGCCUACUUUCUAUGCACAAAACUAAUCAGACACUCAUAGCACCUGGGGAUAUGUGGGCAUUUCUGGCAGAUGGACAUUUCCCUCCUUCCAAGUAAAUAAUUUCAGUGUAGUGUGCAUAAAAUUCAGAAUGUACAUUUAGUAGCCUCCUAUAAACACAUUUGAGAAGUCUGGUGUUAAAAAUAAUGCAUAUUUUUGUACAAGUAGAAAUAAUACUUCAAAACUGAACUUAAAAUUCUGAAAUACAUAAGCAUUAAAUAGUAGCAGUAGUAAUGGAGACACUUUUUGCAGGUUAAUUAUUGUUAAUAAUUUACAUAGUUAUCAUGCAUAUGUAUUAGUAGUAAUUUUUUUAAAAAACAUAUUAUUUUAAAUUGCUAUACAAUGCUUGCAUUUAAUUCUUGUUUGCACCCUAGUGGACUAAGCUAUACCUUUUUUUCUUCCUCUUGCAUGUGUGUUAGCCCAACAGGAGAGCUCCACUUUCCUUGCCUGCCACAACAGGGUAAGGACUAUCACUUAUUUCCAGGUUGUAGGUCAGAAGCUCUUCUAAAGUACAUAGGCCUUACCAGUAUG